UCUAAGUCGGAUUCUGUGUUAAUAUUCGCUGAUCGUAAGGAGUUAAUCCUUUUUUUGUCCAUGAGACCGCAAGAGAGAAUGACUUUCCGUCCCGGUGAUACCCCAGAGGAAAACUAUGACGGGGUGUGUCUAAGGACACGAGAUCAUCGGAUUCGUCGGGGACAUCCUACGUUCGGAAAGUAAGGGAAAUUAACGUUGCUGCUAAUUGGCCAAUCUCCAUAUCGGUAGUUAGAAAAGGAUGCUAGCUGCCCUUGAGGGAGGGUUGCUAGUGGGAGACGUCGUUCGUGGAAAAUAGGUCUCUCCUGUCUUCCCGUAACUGGGACAAAGACUGUGUAUCUGUUGAAGGAUUUUAGGUAACUAGAUAUUAGUGUUUAUGACGGUCCUCGGGCUAGCCGAUCACGUACUGUGGAGACGCGUCGACAUCUGGUAAACAACCUGCCCGGAGAAUAGGAUCUGCGUGUGGCAAGCUACGGGACAGAAACCGUUGGAAUGUUUACUGCCACGUGCCGCUACAAAUCUUUCUUUUAAGGAGAGCUAUAGGAUUAAUCAAUGCCUUUGUUAGAUGGAGAGUUCGUCCCGUUGACCGCGGCCACGUUCGGCGACUAAUUGUCGCCUUGAGCUCAAGCUCAUUGUUACAAGUCUCAAACAAAUACAAUUGGUUAGAAUGACGGCAAAUCGUUUAGUUACAACUGUAGAUUUUAAUUACAACGUUUUUAUGGAUUUUCCCGAGGUUUCAGAGGGAAGGCACCGGUGUCCUCUUAUCUCCGACACGGCCAUCCUGACUAUCACACGUCCUCGGGUGUAGUUAAAAUAUUGGGUAUUCCUAACAUUAAAUUUGGUACAAUCAACAUUAGUUACAACUUAAUCAAAUGUCAAAUAAACCAAGGGUCCAGUUCGACAACAGGAUUUUGCUCGAGGUUUCGGUAACAAAAAUAAAAGGACAGAAUUAUUAACAUUAUGAUUCGUAUUCGAAAUAUUAGUUGCAUCCUGUGGUUUAUCAGUCGGGUCGUAGUGGCGUGACGGACUAUUUGCGAUUUGCACCCAGAUGAAUCUUGAUUUUGUAGAUCGCACGACCGCACAGAGUUACACUGGUGGUGCGUGCGAACAUACGACCGAUUGAGCUUCAUGGCGUUGCCGCUGGUGGUGCAUGUGAAUACACGACCGCUUCAGCUUCCUGGCGUUGCCGCUGGUGGUGCAUGUGAAUACACGACCGCUUCAGCUUCCUGGCGUUGCGUUAAUGACCCUCGGGGGUCGGGGUACUCAUAUCGCUCGGAUCACUGUCCUCGCCACCACUAACAACGUCCAAAUCCGCAGGAAUGCGACUAUCUGGCAUUCUCCUCAACCUGUCGUGACUAUACUUGUAAGAACGUUUGCCGUCUAACGGUUUUAGAAUAUAUUGGUCCCCCUCCAAAAUCUCUGCUAUCCUAAAUGGACCCUUAAAUUUCGGAUCUAGUUUACAUUGGUUUCUCUCUUCAAUUUUCCGUAGCACAAAAUCACCGAGGUUGAACCUAACCACUUUCGCCUUGGUUUUAUCAAAUCUAACCUUGUCGUACUUGACACUAGCCUCUAUAUUUUUUUUUUUUUUUUUUUUUUUUAU